CAGCUUAUAAAUUAUCAUACCGUACCUAUAUGGACGGGCAGCUUAUACAUUAUUGCAUACAUGAGAUGAUGAUGAUUAUGAGUAGACAGGGAGACGACGCAGACUCAUAGAAGCUAGCAGCUGAUUUGAGAGCACUCCAUCAUUCGGAGGUGCUUAUGAUUAUUCUUUUGUGUACAUGUGUAUUUUGGGCAUGACGGGGUCUUGUCCCGUCCAUAUGUCUAGUACUCUAGUAGAGGCUCGCAGAUACGCAGUGUGGGUUAGAUGGUCUCACGAGAUGCUAUAUAGUAUAAAUGUUAUUUUGAUGGCCAA